rnacentral:tRNA from 1 species
GCCCGGAUGGUGGAAUAGGCAGACACAAGGGAUUUAAAAUCCCUUGCCCGUAAGGGCGUGCGAGUUCGAGCCUCGCUCUGGGCACCA